UACGUAGGGCGCAAGCGUUGUCCGGAAUUAUUGGGCGUAAAGAGCUCGUAGGCGGCUUGUUACGUCUGCUGUGAAAUCCCAGGGCUUAACCCUGGGCCUGCAGUGGAUACGGGCAGGCUAGAGGCAGGCAGGGGAGAACGGAAUUCCCGGUGUAGCGGUGAAAUGCGUAGAUAUCAAGAGGAACACCUGAGGUGAAGACGGGUUGCUGGGCUGACACUGACGCUGAGGCGCGAAAGCCAGGGGAGCAAACGGG
rnacentral:rRNA from 1 species